rnacentral:rRNA from 1 species
UCAAAUAUUCACAUUACCCUGGACAUUACCUAUUCUUUUCUGGAUUUUUGGAAGCUAAGCAGGGUUAGUCCUGGUUCUUACUGGGAUGGGACAUCACCCAAAAUAUCCAUGUGUGGCUAACAUUCUGC